rnacentral:piRNA from 1 species
UGUUCUCUGUGGUGAACCCUAAGAGCC